UACCAGCACCCCGAGUGGUCGGGACGAUUAUUGGGCCUAAAGCCUCCGUAGCCGGUCCUACAAGUCUUCCGUUAAAUCCACCUGCUUAACAGAUGGGCUGCGGAAGAUACUAUAGGGCUAGGAGGCGGGAGAGGCAAGCGGUACUCAGUGGGUAGGGGUAAAAUCCUCUGAUCCAUUGAAGACCACCUGUGGCGAAAGCGGCGCACUGGACCAUAACUGACGCUGAUGCGCGAAAGCUAGGGGAGCAAACAGG
rnacentral:rRNA from 1 species